rnacentral:rRNA from 1 species
UGGGGAAUUUUGGACAAUGGGCGCAAGCCUGAUCCAGCAAUGCCGCGUGCAGGAUGAAGGCCUUCGGGUUGUAAACUGCUUUUGUACGGAACGAAACGGCGAGCUCUAAUACAGUUUGCUAAUGACGGUACCGUAAGAAUAAGCACCGGCUAACUACGUGCCAGCAGCCGCGGUAAUACGUAGGGUGCAAGCGUUAAUCGGAAUUACUGGGCGUAAAGCGUGCGCAGGCGGAUAUGUAAUACAGAUGUGAAAUCCCCGGGCUUAACCUGGGAACUGCAUUUGUGACUGCAUAGCUAGAGUACGGUAGAGGGGGAUGGAAUUCCGCGUGUAGCAGUGAAAUGCGUAGAUAUGCGGAGGAACACCGAUGGCGAAGGCAAUCCCCUGGACCUGUACUGACGCUCAUGCACGAAAGCGUGGGGAGCAAACA